rnacentral:rRNA from 1 species
CCUAAUACAUGCAAGUCGAACGAGAGCGACCGGUGCUUGCACUGGUCAAUCUAGUGGCGAACGGGUGAGUAACACGUGGGUAACCUGCCCAUCAGAGGGGGAUAACAUUCGGAAACGGAUGCUAAAACCGCAUAGGUCUUCGAACCGCAUGGUUUGAAGAGGAAAAGAGGCGCAAGCUUCUGCUGAUGGAUGGACCCGCGGUGCAUUAGCUAGUUGGUGAGGUAACGGCUCACCAAGGCCGUGAUGCAUAGCCGACCUGAGAGGGUGAUCGGCCACAUUGGGACUGAGACACGGCCCAAACUCCUACGGGAGGCAGCAGUAGGGAAUCUUCCGCAAUGGACGCAAGUCUGACGGAGCAACGCCGCGUGAGUGAAGAAGGUUUUCGGAUCGUAAAACUCUGUUGUUAGAGAAGAACAAGUGCUAGAGUAACUGUUAGCGCCUUGACGGUAUCUAACCAGAAAGCCACGGCUAACUACGUGCCAGCAGCCGCGGUAAUACGUAGGUGGCAAGCGUUGUCCGGAUUUAUUGGGCGUAAAGCGAGCGCAGGCGGUUCCUUAAGUCUGAUGUGAAAGCCCCCGGCUCAACCGGGGAGGGUCAUUGGAAACUGGGGAACUUGAGUGCAGAAGAGGAGAGUGGAAUUCCAUGUGUAGCGGUGAAAUGCGUAGAUAUAUGGAGGAACACCAGUGGCGAAGGCGACUCUCUGGUCUGUAACUGACGCUGAGGCUCGAAAG